AGAAUAGUUCAUGCGUAAAUGCACGGACACGACUGGAAACUCCAUUUUUCAAUCUUUCAAGAACCAUAACUCCUGAACGGUAAAAGUCAAAAUCGUCAUUAUUGAACUUGACCUUCAUUUAGUUGUCAGUAACAACAUAUUAAAAUUUUAAAAGCUUUGGUUGAACGGUUCAUGAGUUAAUGCACGGACAACAUUUGAUUGCCGCCCGAAUGCCCGCCCGCCCGCCGUACAUCCCC
rnacentral:lncRNA from 1 species